CGCCACUGAACAGUCCUUUCAUCCACCAUAAAUGGUUUCAUUGUUUCGAUUUCCCUCCUUCUCUCAUUACGUCUGCUUGUACUCUGCAACGAAGCGGAAAGGAUGUUGUCCCUGAACGCAAUCCCUUCUUUAUCGGCCGUAUCCGCUCAGGCUCUCUUCUCUUCACCGUGUUUCCACUUCUUUCCUAGAAACCCUAGAACCAGCUGCUGCUCUAGAGUUUGCAGAGCCUUCGGUGUUUAUUCUGGCUAUCCUGAUGAUUCAUCUUCCGGUGAACGUGAAGAAUGCGUCGCCGGCCUGACAUCCAACUACGCCGGCCUCCGGUUGGAAGAGACUGUUGACAUUGAGGCAGGCAAGCUCAGGCUCGAUUCUUGGAUAUCAUCUCGCAUUUCCGGCGUAAGUAGAGCUCGUGUGCAAUCAAGCAUUCGGUUCGGGCUCGUCAGUGUUAAUGGCAGGGUUGUUGAUAAGGUUUCUCAUGCGGUUAGACCUGGAGAUAAGGUUAAAUGCACAGUAUCAGAAUUACAACCCUUAAGGGCUGAAGCAGAAGAUAUACCUUUGGAUAUAGUUUAUGAAGAUGACUGCGUACUGGUUGUAAACAAGCCUCCUCACAUGGUUGUUCAUCCAGCACCUGGCAAUGCUACUGGUACACUUGUCAAUGGCAUUCUUCACCAUUGCAGUCUUCCCACUGUUGCAUACUCUGACAAGGAAGUACUUUGUGAGGCAGGAGAUAUUUCUGAUAAUGAGCUGAGUGACUUUUCUAUAGAUCAAGUUGGAAUUAGUUACAGUACAUUGGGAGGUUCUGUUCGCCCAGGAAUUGUGCAUAGGUUGGACAAAGGCACUAGUGGACUGCUUGUUGUUGCAAAGGUGACCCCCAAAGCAGCACAAUUUAAUGAAAAUGAGCAUUCUCAUGCCCAUUUAUGUGAACAAUUCAAACUACGCACCAUCCACAGAGUAUAUGUUAGUCUUACUUCUGGAGUGCCCUCCCCAACCUCAGGACGUGUUGAUAUCCCAAUAGGCCGUGAUUUAAGUAAUCGGAUUCGUAUGACUGCUGCUUCUGGAUCUAGUAAUUGCGGCCAGGCCCGUCAUGCUGCUAGUAGGUAUAAAGUAAUUGAAACACUUGCUGGCGGUGGAUCUGCAUUAGUUGAGUGGAGAUUAGAAACUGGGCGCACUCAUCAGAUACGUGCACAUGCAAAGUACCUGGGAAUUCCUCUUUUAGGAGAUGAGGUGUAUGGAGGUUCUAAGAGCAUGGCCCUGUCAUUGCUGCAGCCCAGAACUCCGCCUAGCUGCAAUGAUCUACUUCUGCAACUGGUUUCAAGAUUAGAGAGGCCUUGCCUCCAUGCAGUGGCUCUUGGGUUUAAGCACCCACACACUGGAGAGAGCCUAAAUUUAUCUUGCUCACCCCCUAAGGAUUUCACUGAGAUUUUAGGCCAAUUACGUAAGAUUAGCAAAAUCAGCAAUGGAUAAGAGCAUAAAAGGGAUGCUGCGAGAUUUACCACAUGUCAUGCAAAGUGCAGAGUAUCUGAAGCAAACUUUAGAAAGAGAACUUUGGUUAGCAUGAAGUUAGCAGGAAAAGAAGGAUUGCAUUAUUAUUAACAUUACUCUCAGACUUGCUAGGCAAAAUUUACAUGUUGAUAUGCGAUGAUAUGGAUUGUCAGAAGCACGGUAAUUUGGUAUGAAAGAAGCAGCCUUGAAUUCAAAUAAUAUCUUGUAUGGAGGAAAACACAUCAA